GCAUCUCGUCGCCCGUGAAUAAGACGGGGAUGGACAAGUCGCCAUUCAACAGCCCCUCGCCGCAGGACUCGCUGCGCCUGUGCAGCUUCACGCAGCACCACUGGCCCGUGAUCGCGGUGCACAGCGGCAUCAUCCGGAGUCCGAACCCGUCCUCCGCCCUGCACUUCCCCACCACGUCCAUCCUGCAGCAGAUGGCGUCCACCUACUUCCCGCACACGGCCAUCCGCUACCCGCCGCAUCUCAACCCUCAGGACCCGCUCAAAGAUCUCAUGUCGCUGGCCUGCGACCCGGCCAGCCGGCAGCCUGGAUCGCCUACUCUGUGCCCAACACGUUCCCUGUAAAGCCUUCCUUUGUGGGAUUAGGACCAAGCGAUCCUGUGGGCAGCUUUCAGGCAUAGGUAGGGGCCGAGAGGCUGCCGAGGGGGGCAGGGAGCCAGGCAGAGGGCCAGCCUGGGGGGCACAGGGAGAGGAGAGGCAAGCCCGCCCGCCCCCACCGCUGGCCACAGCCCGGGCUCCGGGGGCCUCGAGCGAGCCCGGGCUGGCUUCUCCUGGGCUCCCCCUCCUGCCUCCUGCCCAACAUCUGUCCAGAUGGGGAGAGGCCCAGAGAGGCCGGGGACCUGCCCAGGGUCACACAGCCAUCGGCUGGAACUUGCCUCACCCCCACCCUGUGCCCCAGACCCAAGGCCUGGGGGGAGACCCUGCUCCGGGGAGGGGCUCAGAGCAGGGAGGUGAGUGACCCCGGGGCCCACGUGUCCCCCAGCCUGCCCACCUUCGGGGACCCUGGGCCUGAGACAGUAGGAGGGGGCCCCAGAGCCCCUGCCCCUGGCCAUGUUGUUGGGGAAGGGGUCUCAGAUGCACAGAGAAGCCAGUCCAGAAGCUCCAGGUCAUGUGGGGGAGGUCCCCAAGGCCGUGGCUGGACCCUGCUGCACCCCUCUGGGCCCAGACCCCCUCCAG
rnacentral:lncRNA from 1 species